CAUUAAAUCAGUUAUCGUUUAUUUGAUAGUACCUUACUACUUGGAUAACCGUGGUAAUUCUAGAGCUAAUACAUGCUAAAAACCCCGACUUGGAAGGGGUGUAUUUAUUAGAUAAAAAACCAAUGCCCUUCGGGGCUCCUUGGUGAUUCAUAAUAACUUAACGAAUCGCAUGGNCUUGUGCCGGCGAUGGUUCAUUCAAAUUUCUGCCCUAUCAACUUUCGAUGGUAGGAUAGUGGCCUACCAUGGUUUCAACGGGUAACGGGGAAUUAGGGUUCUAUUCCGGAGAGUGAGCCUGUGAAACGGCUACCACAUCCAAGGAAGGCAGCAGGCGCAAAUUACCCAAUCCGACACGGGGAGGUAGUGACAAUAAAUACUGAUACAGGGCUCUUUUGGGUCUUGUAAUUGGAAUGAGUGACAAUUUAAAUCCCUUAACGAGGAACAAUUNNNNNNNNNNNNNNNNNNNNNNNNNNNNNGGUAAUUCCAGCUCCAAUAGCGUAUAUUAAAGUUGUUGCAGUUAAAAAGCUCGUAGUUGAACCUUGGGCCUGGCUGGCGGUCCGCCUCACCGCGUGCACUGGUUCCGGCCGGGUCUUUCCUUCUAGGGAACCUCAUGCCCUUCAUUGGGUGUGCUGGGGAACUAGGACUUUUACUUUUAAAAAUUAGAGUGUUCAAAGCAGGCCUAUGCUCGAAUACAUUAGCAUGGAAUAAUAGAAUAGGACGUGUGGUUCUAUUUUGUUGGUUUCUAGGACCGCCGUAAUGAUUAAUAGGGAUAGUCGGGGGCAUCAGUAUUCAAUUGUCAGAGGUGAAAUUCUUGGAUUUAUUGAAGACUAACUACUGCGAAAGCAUUUGCCAAGGAUGUUUUCAUUAAUCAGUGAACGAAAGUUAGGGGAUCGAAGACGAUCAGAUACCGUCGUAGUCUUAACCAUAAACUAUGCCGACUAGGGAUCGGGCGAUGUUAUCUUNNUGACUCGCUUGU
rnacentral:rRNA from 1 species